rnacentral:rRNA from 1 species
CAUAAUCGAUUAUGAGGGUUUGGUUGUAGCUGGUUCAUUAAUUUGGGCAUGUGCACACCUUCUCUCUUUCAUCCACACACACCUGUGCACCUGUGAGGCAGAUGGGGAAUUUAUUGAUUGUUCUCUAAGAACAAUUGGUGUUGGACCCUCUGUCUACUCAAUACAUAUAAUCUCAUUUUAUUUAAAAGAGAGUGUAGUGGAUGUAACGCCUCUAAUACUAAUUUUCAACAACAGAUCUCGUGUCUCUCGCCUCUAUAAAAAACGCCGCAAAGUGAUAUAAAUAGUGAGAAGUGCAAAUUUCUGAGACUCAUCAAAUCUUUGAACGCCCCGUGCUCCCUGUGAUAUCCUGUGGAAUGUGCGUGUUAGAAUAUCGAGAACUCCUCAAAAAAAACUCUUUGGUAAAUCCAUGUGGUUUACCUUGGUCUUGGAGGUCUUUGCAGCUUCACACCUGCUCCUCUUGUGUAUUAGCUGGAUCUCAGUGUUAUGCUUGGUCCACUCGGCGUGAUAAGUUAUCUAUCGCUGAGGACACUGUAAUAGGUGGCCAAGGGAAAUGCAGAUGAACCGCUCCUAAUAGUCCAUUGACUUGGACACUAUAUCUUAAGAUCCGAACCCCAAACAAGGAAGAAUACCCGGUGAACUAAACAUACAUAAAAGCGGGAGGAAA